GUAGAACUCCCUGACCUAGGUUAUACAUGUGAGAAAUGUGAUACAUUUGCUUAUGCGUUGGGGUUUGGUUAUGAUCAUGUUACCAAUGACUACAAGGUGGUAAGAGUAGUACACACUUGGUCUCAUCCGUCGCCACCUCAUGUUGAUCUUUAUAAGUUAAGCACUGGUGUUUGGGAAGACAUUAGCCAUGUCUCUCUGUCUUACCUAUUCCUUGCCACUACAUCACAGGCAUAUGUGAAUGGAGCUUCUCAUUGGAUUGCUUCCAAAUGGGAUGUAUCAUCAUUGGUGAGUGUGAUUGUUUUAUUCAACAUGCAUGAUGAGACAUUCUCAGAUAUGAUAUUGCCGAGUAGUUUAAUCAGUGAGUCACAAACACAUUUUGAUGAAGUCUUCCUUUUUGCGUCAGAGGGAUGUCUUUGUUUGGUUGAUAAUAACUAUGACAAACGUGAACCUAUUAAGAUUUGGAUGAUGAAAGAGUAUGGUGUGCCAGACUCAUGGGAGAAACAGUUCAGCAUCCAAAAUUAUCACUUUGCACUACAUUUUCCUCUUCGUGAAGAUAUCUUUUGGACACCUUACCUUGGAACGGCUGCUCCAACUGAGUUUGAG
rnacentral:misc_RNA from 1 species